rnacentral:rRNA from 1 species
AGUGGGGAAUAUUGGGCAAUGGACGCAAGUCUGACCCAGCAACGCCGCGUGAAGGAAGAAGGCUUUCGGGUUGUAAACUUCUUUUAAGGGGGAAGAGAAGAAGACGGUACCCCUUGAAUAAGCCACGGCUAACUACGUGCC